GACCAGCACACUGUGUGAUAAUCAGGUAAUGAUCAGCCGGCACUCUGUUCAAGAGGCGUGGUGCACGCGUCCGAGAUAGCAAUCUCACAUGUAAUAGAGGAAAAGACCGGCACUCACUGUAUCUUCUGCGAACUCAAACCUUUAUUGGUCACAUGUAGUAUAAAGUUCUGUGACGCGUUUCGGCUC